GAGUUUGAUCAUGGCUCAGAUUGAACGCUGGCGGCAUGCUUUACACAUGCAAGUCGCGGGGGCCCGCAAGGGCAACCGGCGAACGGGUGCGUAACACGUGAGCAAGCUUCCGAUUUGUGGGGGAUAGCCGGCCUAACGGCCGGGUAAUACCGCAUACGUUCACUGGGCGGCAUCGUCUGGUGAGGAAACCUCCGGGGCAAAUCGAGGCGCUCGCGGCCUAUCAGCUAGUUGGCGGGGUAAUGGCCCACCAAGGCGACGACGGGUAGCUGGUCUGAGAGGAUGGCCAGCCACAUUGGGACUGCGACACGGCCCAGACUCCUACGGGAGGCAGCAGUGGGGAAUAUUGCGCAAUGGACGAAAGUCUGACGCAGCGACGCCGCGUGUGGGAUGAAGCUCUUCGGGGGUGUAAACCACUGUUGCCCGGGACGAAAUGCCCUUUCGAGGGAAUUGACGGUACCGGGUGAGGAAGCACCGGCUAACUCUGUGCCAGCCGCCGCAGUAAG
rnacentral:rRNA from 2 species